rnacentral:rRNA from 2 species
UUAAGCGACUAAGCGUACACGGUGGAUGCCCUGGCAGUCAGAGGCGAUGAAGGACGUGCUAAUCUGCGAUAAGCGUCGGUAAGGUGAUAUGAACCGUUAUAACCGGCGAUUUCCGAAUGGGGAAACCCAGUGUGUUUCGACACACUAUCAUUAACUGAAUCCAUAGGUUAAUGAGGCGAACCGGGGGAACUGAAACAUCUAAGUACCCCGAGGAAAAGAAAUCAACCGAGAUUCCCCCAGUAGCGGCGAGCGAACGGGGAGCAGCCCAGAGCCUGAAUCAGUGUGUGUGUUAGUGGAAGCGUCUGGAAAGGCGCGCGAUACAGGGUGACAGCCCCGUACACAAAAAUGCACAUGCUGUGAGCUCGAUGAGUAGGGCGGGACACGUGGUAUCCUGUCUGAAUAUGGGGGGACCAUCCUCCAAGGCUAAAUACUCCUGACUGACCGAUAGUGAACCAGUACCGUGAGGGAAAGGCGAAAAGAACCCCGGCGAGGGGAGUGAAAAAGAACCUGAAACCGUGUACGUACAAGCAGUGGGAGCACGCUUAGGCGUGUGACUGCGUACCUUUUGUAUAAUGGGUCAGCGACUUAUAUUCUGUAGCAAGGUUAACCGAAUAGGGGAGCCGAAGGGAAACCGAGUCUUAACUGGGCGUUAAGUUGCAGGGUAUAGACCCGAAACCCGGUGAUCUAGCCAUGGGCAGGUUGAAGGUUGGGUAACACUAACUGGAGGACCGAACCGACUAAUGUUGAAAAAUUAGCGGAUGACUUGUGGCUGGGGGUGAAAGGCCAAUCAAACCGGGAGAUAGCUGGUUCUCCCCGAAAGCUAUUUAGGUAGCGCCUCGUGAAUUCAUCUCCGGGGGUAGAGCACUGUUUCGGCAAGGGGGUCAUCCCGACUUACCAACCCGAUGCAAACUGCGAAUACCGGAGAAUGUUAUCACGGGAGACACACGGCGGGUGCUAACGUCCGUCGUGAAGAGGGAAACAACCCAGACCGCCAGCUAAGGUCCCAAAGUCAUGGUUAAGUGGGAAACGAUGUGGGAAGGCCCAGACAGCCAGGAUGUUGGCUUAGAAGCAGCCAUCAUUUAAAGAAAGCGUAAUAGCUCACUGGUCGAGUCGGCCUGCGCGGAAGAUGUAACGGGGCUAAACCAUGCACCGAAGCUGCGGCAGCGACGCUGAUGCGUUGUUGGGUAGGGGAGCGUUCUGUAAGCCUGCGAAGGUGUGCUGUGAGGCAUGCUGGAGGUAUCAGAAGUGCGAAUGCUGACAUAAGUAACGAUAAAGCGGGUGAAAAGCCCGCUCGCCGGAAGACCAAGGGUUCCUGUCCAACGUUAAUCGGGGCAGGGUGAGUCGACCCCUAAGGCGAGGCCGAAAGGCGUAGUCGAUGGGAAACAGGUUAAUAUUCCUGUACUUGGUGUUACUGCGAAGGGGGGACGGAGAAGGCUAUGUUGGCCGGGCGACGGUUGUCCCGGUUUAAGCGUGUAGGCUGGUUUUCCAGGCAAAUCCGGAAAAUCAAGGCUGAGGCGUGAUGACGAGGCACUACGGUGCUGAAGCAACAAAUGCCCUGCUUCCAGGAAAAGCCUCUAAGCAUCAGGUAACAUCAAAUCGUACCCCAAACCGACACAGGUGGUCAGGUAGAGAAUACCAAGGCGCUUGAGAGAACUCGGGUGAAGGAACUAGGCAAAAUGGUGCCGUAACUUCGGGAGAAGGCACGCUGAUAUGUAGGUGAAGUCCCUUGCGGAUGGAGCUGAAAUCAGUCGAAGAUACCAGCUGGCUGCAACUGUUUAUUAAAAACACAGCACUGUGCAAACACGAAAGUGGACGUAUACGGUGUGACGCCUGCCCGGUGCCGGAAGGUUAAUUGAUGGGGUCAGCGCAAGCGAAGCUCUUGAUCGAAGCCCCGGUAAACGGCGGCCGUAACUAUAACGGUCCUAAGGUAGCGAAAUUCCUUGUCGGGUAAGUUCCGACCUGCACGAAUGGCGUAAUGAUGGCCAGGCUGUCUCCACCCGAGACUCAGUGAAAUUGAACUCGCUGUGAAGAUGCAGUGUACCCGCGGCAAGACGGAAAGACCCCGUGAACCUUUACUAUAGCUUGACACUGAACAUUGAGCCUUGAUGUGUAGGAUAGGUGGGAGGCUUAGAAGUGUGGACGCCAGUCUGCAUGGAGCCGACCUUGAAAUACCACCCUUUAAUGUUUGAUGUUCUAACGUUGACCCGUAAUCCGGGUUGCGGACAGUGUCUGGUGGGUAGUUUGACUGGGGCGGUCUCCUCCUAAAGAGUAACGGAGGAGCACGAAGGUUGGCUAAUCCUGGUCGGACAUCAGGAGGUUAGUGCAAUGGCAUAAGCCAGCUUGACUGCGAGCGUGACGGCGCGAGCAGGUGCGAAAGCAGGUCAUAGUGAUCCGGUGGUUCUGAAUGGAAGGGCCAUCGCUCAACGGAUAAAAGGUACUCCGGGGAUAACAGGCUGAUACCGCCCAAGAGUUCAUAUCGACGGCGGUGUUUGGCACCUCGAUGUCGGCUCAUCACAUCCUGGGGCUGAAGUAGGUCCCAAGGGUAUGGCUGUUCGCCAUUUAAAGUGGUACGCGAGCUGGGUUUAGAACGUCGUGAGACAGUUCGGUCCCUAUCUGCCGUGGGCGCUGGAGAACUGAGGGGGGCUGCUCCUAGUACGAGAGGACCGGAGUGGACGCAUCACUGGUGUUCGGGUUGUCAUGCCAAUGGCACUGCCCGGUAGCUAAAUGCGGAAGAGAUAAGUGCUGAAAGCAUCUAAGCACGAAACUUGCCCCGAGAUGAGUUCUCCCUGACUCCUUGAGAGUCCUGAAGGAACGUUGAAGACGACGACGUUGAUAGGCCGGGUGUGUAAGCGCAGCGAUGCGUUGAGCUAACCGGUACUAAUGAACCGUGAGGCUUAACCUU